GCCUGGGUGGCUCAGUCGGUUGAGCCACUGAUUUCGGCUCAGGUCAUGAUCUCACAGCUCGUGAGUUCGAGCCCCGCCUUGGGCU
rnacentral:tRNA from 1 species